rnacentral:rRNA from 1 species
AUUGAACGCUGGCGGCAUGCCUUACACAUGCAAGUCGAACGGUAACGGGCCUUCGGGUGCCGACGAGUGGCGAACGGGUGAGUAAUGCAUCGGAACGUACCUUUCAGUGGGGGAUAACGUAGCGAAAGUUACGCUAAUACCGCAUAUUCUGUGAGCAGGAAAGCAGGGGAUCGCAAGACCUUGCGCUGAUUGAGCGGCCGAUGUCAGAUUAGCUAGUUGGUGAGGUAAAGGCUCACCAAGGCGACGAUCUGUAGCGGGUCUGAGAGGAUGAUCCGCCACACUGGAACUGAGACACGGUCCAGACUCCUACGGGAGGCAGCAGUGGGGAAUUUUGAACAAUGGGGGCAACCCUGAUCCAGCCAUGCCGCGUGAGUGAAGAAGGCCUUCGGGUUGUAAAGCUCUUUCGGCCGGGAAGAAAUCGUAUGGGCUAAUACCCUGUGCGGAUGACGGUACCGGCAUAAGAAGCACCGGCUAACUACGUGCCAGCAGCCGCGGUAAAAC